rnacentral:rRNA from 1 species
GACAGAGGGUGCAAACGUUGUUCGGAAUUACUGGGCGUAAAGUGUGUGUAGGCGGCUACGUAAGUCGGAUGUGAAAGCCCCAGGCUCAACCUGGGAAGUGCACUCGAUACUGCGUAGCUUGAGUAUCGGAGAGGUUGGUGGAAUUCUCGGUGUAGAGGUGAAAUUCGUAGAUAUCGAGAGGAACACCGGUGGCGAAGGCGGCCAACUGGACGAAUACUGACGCUGAGACACGAAAGCGUGGGGAGCAAACAGG